CACGUGAUACUCUCUCCUCGCCGUCUGCUCAGCCAUUCGCCCUGCGCCCGCUGACGUGAUGUGACGGGUCUCCGGUUGUGUUGCAGCGGUGAGGUGGUGUUGCAUCUUUUCUCAGCGGGCGUGUUGUGGUGGAGUGCGGUGUGAAGGGAGAGGUGGAUAGGAGAUAAUUGGUGGGCUGUGUGUGGUGGUGCCACAUUGUCUGUGAGGGACCCCCAGAGCCACACAGCACCAGCUGCAACAGCUACAGCAGCAGCAGCAGCAGCAGCAGCAGCAGCAGCAGCAGGAGGAGGAAAUGGCAUCCACCUUCUACCUCACCCAGUGUCACCGGGGCCUCCUCCUCCUCCAGCAGCUGGCCAGGGUGCAGGGACAGGAUGAGCAAGCAGGUGGUGACAGAGAGGGUGGCCAGCUUGUCCCUCCCUCCUGCCACCCAGCCACAGCACUGGCAGUUGCUGCAGUGAGACUGCCCAGGCACAAGUUUGUGCAUGUGUCCAGGACGUGAAGGUGAUGGGAACGUGUCCUG